rnacentral:lncRNA from 1 species
GUGUGAACAACUCCAUUCAGACUGGAUGGUGUGUCUUUCACUACUGCCAUCCCCGGUGGACAUCAGACUCCAGUUUCUUCAGCCCUUCCAGGCAAAUUCAUUCCAGGAGGCCUCCAGGGGGCCUCCAGAGGGCCUCCAGGCCUACAGUCUCAGACUGGCGCUCCAUCCUUGAUUCCUCUUGUGCUGCAUCUUCCAGCUUUGGGAACAAGCAACUAGAUCCUCUGACUCUCCAGCAUGCAGAGGGCCAUUUAUGAAUGAUUCUGCCUCUAAUCCGAAACUGCUGCAAAAUCGAAGAGUCACUGUUUCAUCAGAGACAGUAUCUGUGAAUGGAAGGUUAAGGCACAGCCAUCCAUCUUCUGACGCCCAGGAAGGUGGCUACACGUUUCGCUGCCAUACUGCACUUCCCUGAUUCCACUUCACAGAGCAGCCUCACCCCAGCAGAGAAUAAGCCCAAGUGUGGUGGGACACUGCUGCAAUCCUACCACUCCGGAGGCUGAGGCAGGAGGAUCACCCCAAGUUGGAGGCCAUCCUGAGCUACAUAGAGAGUUCAAGGCAAGCUGAACUACAUAGUAAGAGCUUGCCUCCAAAAGAC